UCUUCAAAACGAGAAUUUCGACACUAAUUUCAAAAAAUUCGACCCAAAAUUGGGCCGAACGGGCCGAACCGAUCGAACUGGCCCUGAACCGGGCCCGUGGGCCCAAUAUAUAUAAUCAUCAUUUCAGCCACUUCCCAUUAUUUGUUUCCCUUCCAGCGCCGAGAAGAGAGAUUGAAGAAAAGCAAAGCCACCAAAACCUAAAUCCUUAUCAAUUUUCAAUUCAUCAUAACUUUCGAUCCGGAGCUCCGAUUGACGAGCCGUUUGCGGUCACGCGUUCGUCUUGGAGUCCUCUUCAAUUCUAUCUGAACAAAGUGGUAAGUUUAUCACCAAUUCAUUCCCAUUUCUCUGUGCCCCUUUUCUACACGAAAAUUAUUGAGGUUUUGAGUGAUUUUGAUAAUUUUGGUGGUUUAGGUGCAAACUAAAAUGGGAUAAUUAUUGGGUUGCACUCCAAUCAUCAAUGGGUACGGUGUGAAUUGAGUCAUAUAUAUAUGCAUUGGAAUUGAGUUGGGAGUACUUGGAGGCUUAUUGGUGAUCAAAGCUUAUUUUGGGGUUGUUUUAAUUAAGUUUGGAAGGGCUGUGAUUUGUGUUGUGAGGCUGCCUUGGGUGAAACUAAGUGAUCGGCCAAGAUGCAGGUCGAAAGGCUCCUCGCUAGGCGUCUGGAUCCUGGGAAGCAAAGUAGUCCUUGGGUGUAUUUUGGUUUUCUAUUUGUAUAUAUGUAAAUAUGUAUUUAGCUUACUCUCCAAGUAACUUAUGUAUUCUGCUCCUCUUAGAGGUUGAGGGAGAGAUAGGAGUUUACUUUGGUACCUUGGUGUAUUUUGGAAAUACUUAUGUAUGUUUAUAUGUAUAUAUAUACCCUCUGGCCAGCCUUAGCUUUGCAGGCUGAGUCAAGAGCUAGUUAUGUUGUUUC